GCUGCACUCGAACGCACCACUACAGCAAACAUUGGAUUACCGUGAAAGCAACAAACUUGACCGGACAAAACGCCCACCGCUGCAGCGGUGUCCUCUAAGCUCCGGAGGGAACAGCAGGAACCCGAAGCCCUUCUUCCAGCGCUAAAACUGAAAAAAUAAAGUCUGUGUUCUCUGGAGCGACCUACAGCUAAGAAGAUGUCAAUGGCUUAUAAAGAUGACGAGGAAGACUGGUUGACAGUUUGCCUCAAGUACCUGCUCUUUCUGUUUAACUUUCUUUUUUGGGUGGGUGGAGCUGCAGUCUUGGCUGUAGGAGUGUGGACCCUGGUGGAGAAGAGUGACUACCUUAGUCUAUUGGCCUCCAGCACUUUUGCUGUUUCAGCGUAUAUCUUGAUCCUGGCUGGCAGCCUAGUGGUUGUUACUGGCUUCUUGGGCUGCUGUGCUGUUAUCCGGGAACAGAGAAGCUGCCUUUCCACGUAUUUCUUCUUCCUGCUGUUAAUAUUCUUGAUUGAGUUGGUGGCUGGCGUGCUGGCUUAUGUUUACUACCAGAGGCUGAGUGAUGAACUGAAGGAGCACCUCAACCAGACAAUGACUGAGAAUUAUGCUCAGCAAGGGAAGGACACAAUCACAUCAGCAGUGGACAGACUGCAACAAGAUUUCAAGUGCUGUGGCAGCAACAACUCUCAGGAUUGGAUGCUGAGUGUGUACAUUAGGUCAGAGCAGUCGGGGAACAGGGUGGUGCCUGACAGCUGCUGUAAAACCAUCACGCCUGACUGUGGCAGGAGGGACCAUCCCUCAAACAUCUAUAAAGUGGAGGGUGGUUGCAUCACUAAGCUGGAGCAGUUCCUUGCAGACCAUCUAUUGGUUAUUGGUGCGGUGGGAAUUGGUGUGGCCUGUCUUCAGCUGGCCGGGGCACUCUUGACAGCCUGCUUUAUCUAUCUGCUCUAUAAGGAAGAGGAAGAGGACUUUGGUGCAUUGUAAUUUGGCUCUAGAGCUCCUUGGUGCUUUUAAUCAAAUGGAUAGACAAGGUUGGAAGAUCUGUGGGAUGGUGUUCACCUGCUGCUUGCACAGAAGGAUUAAGAUGGAUCCUUACUAGACGUACAAGACCCAACAAAUCACCGGUAACAUGCAAAUGUGGCAAAGCCUACCGACACCUGACUUCCACAUCUGGAUCUGGGAUUACAAUCAGACAAUAGUGAGUGAAGUGAAGUUUACAUGCAGCACUGUCAGAAACUAAUUAAGCCGUUGAGUCUUAUUUCUACAAGAAGAAGAUAUAUUUAUUUGGCUUACAUGCAUGAUUUAAAUGGAGAUGAACGAUUACCUUCUGUAACUAAUGCAAAAAUAAAGAUUAGUCUUUUUCCCCCCCUUACUUAGUACAGUAUCAUCAGUUUUUGAGAGCAAACAAGCAUUUAUAAAAGACACUGGCUACACUUGUCAUUGUUUAUGAAGAGAUGGAACAUAAUGUGCCUUUUUUCAAGAUUGUGUUUAUUAUGUGCCGAGUGCCUUGAAGCUUUAAAGGAAAUAUGACAACACAACAUAGUAAAGUGUAUAUUUAUUGGUGGUUAGUUUAAAUGUUUCUAUCAAAACUAUAAUGCUGAAUUUUACAUGAUUAAUCAAAGUUAACUCGUCAUAGUUGCAACACUACCAGAGUUUGCCCACAGGUUAUUUCUUACAAAAUGCCAACACAUUUUUGAAUUUAGAACUCCACCUAGUGGACGCAGCUCUCAAUUAAAAACAAGCCACAGUUUUGUAAAAGACAUGGAUGGUAAUCUGGUUUCGUUUUCUAUAAAAUGUUAAUUUUGAAAUUAUUCCGAUAUUGAUGUUUUCACAUUAAAGCAAAAAAUUUAUUUAAUCUCUUUUUGUCGUCGUUAAACUUUCUACUGAAGAUAUGAAUAUUUUAAAUUAGAAAUGUGUUCCUCAUUGUUACUGUUUCUAGUAGUAAUCAUUGUAUCAUUUAAUCUGAUUAAAAGAAUUUAUCAUUGCCA